rnacentral:tRNA from 1 species
GGAGGUGUGGCUCAAAUGGUAGAGCUCCUGCCUAGCAAGCAUGAGGUCCUGAGUUCAAACCUUAGUAUCAACA